UAAUGGAUAAUUAUUUUUUCAGAUGCCUCGAAGAGCAGUAUCAUCUAGAGGUAGAGGACAUAGCCAGCAGCUCUCUACGAAUGAAACAGAUGAGCCAGUACAGAUGCAAGAGGAAACACUGGAGCACACUCCAGCAGCAUUAGAGGGACAAGCAAACGCAUCAUCAUCAUCAUCAGUUCGAACUAGAGGUCCGAACUUGGGACAUCCUAUCCCAUCAAACCCGUCUGAUCGGCAAUUGAUCAGAUUGAAAGGAAAUGUCUUUUUAGAUUCCACAGUUACUAGAUCAAUCAAUAAUGACAUUAAGAUGCGCUACACUGCUCCAUGGAAAACUUGGUCAGAAAUACCUUUAAAGACAAAAGACGAGCUCUUCUGACUUUUUCGGAGUCGAUAUGUAUGGGAUGAGAGUGAAGAAGAUAUGAUUCGAACUGCUUGGGAAAAGGUAGGAAAAGAAAGACUGCGAGACAUUCUUAAUAGAGUUAGGAGUGAAUUGUUGCGUAAGCACAAGAAGACAGAUAUUGCUUAUCUAUACA